rnacentral:rRNA from 1 species
GAUGAACGCUGGCGGCGUGCCUAAUACAUGCAAGUCGAGCGAACGGACGAGAAGCUUGCUUCUCUGAUGUUAGCGGCGGACGGGUGAGUAACACGUGGAUAACCUACCUAUGAGGCUGGGGUAACUUCGGGAAACCGGAGCUAAUACCGGAUAAGAUUUUGAACCGCAUGGUUCAAAAGAGAAAGACGGUCUUGCUGUCACUAAUAGAUGGAUCCGCGCUGCAUUAGCUAGUUGGUAAGGUAACGGCUUACCAAGGCAACGAUGCAUAGCCGACCUGAGAGGGUGAUCGGCCACACUGGAACUGAGACACGGUCCAGACUCCUACGGGAGGCAGCAGUAGGGAAUCUUCCGCAAUGGGCGAAAGCCUGACGGAGCAACGCCGCGUGAGUGAUGAAGGUCUUCGGAUCGUAAAACUCUGUUAGUAGGGAAGAACAUAUGUGUAAGUAACUGUGCACAUCUUGACGGUACCUAAUCAGAAAGCCCCGGCUAACUACGUG